rnacentral:rRNA from 1 species
GUGGGGAAUAUUGGACAAUGGGCGAAAGUCUGAUCCAGCCAUGCCGCGUGUGUGAAGAAGGUCUUCGGAUUGUAAAGCACUUUAAGUUGGGAGGAAGGGCAGUAAGUUAAUACCUUGCUGUUUUGACGUUACCGACAGAAUAAGCACCGGCUAACUUCGUGCCAGCAGCCGCGGUAAUACGAAGGGUGCAAGCGUUAAUCGGAAUUACUGGGCGUAAAGCGCGCGUAGGUGGUUUUGUAAGUUGGAGGUGAAAUCCCCGGGCUCAACCUGGGAACUGCCUCCAAAACUGCAUGACUAGAGUACGGUAGAGGGUAGUGGAAUUUCCUGUGUAGCGGUGAAAUGCGUAGAUAUAGGAAGGAACACCAGUGGCGAAGGCGACUACCUGGACUGAUACUGACACUGAGGUGCGAAAGCGUGGGGAGCAAACAGGAUUAGAUACCCCAGUAGUCC